UACGGAAGGUCCGGGCGUUAUCCGGAUUUAUUGGGUUUAAAGGGAGCGUAGGCCGGAGAUUAAGCGUGUUGUGAAAUGUAGGAGCUCAACUUCUGCACUGCAGCGCGAACUGGUUUCCUUGAGUACGUAGGAAGUUGGCGGAAUUCGUGGUGUAGCGGUGAAAUGCUUAGAUAUCACGAAGAACUCCGAUUGCGAAGGCAGCUGACUGUAUCGUAACUGACGCUGAAGCUCGAAAGUGUGGGUAUCGAACAGG
rnacentral:misc_RNA from 1 species